GUGAUUUCCUGGUCACGUUGCUCUAGUGCCUGCGUGAGGCGGAGAACGACCUCGUGAGGAGCAGUGGUGGAAGAAGAAGGUUGGUGCUUCAGAGUACCUCCUCUCGAUGUUGUAUAGUUUGCAGCAAGUUGUCCUGCACCGUACACUCGUCCCUUUUUCUUCCCACCAACGAUGUCGAUCCAACACUGUGUCCUACGGAUGUCAUCUUCUGCAUUACUGCCAUCAUCCGGUGUAGGAGCUGACUCAUGUUCAGAUCUAACCUGUGAAAGUCUCGUAGAAAAUUCUUCCUAUUGAAACAUUAAAAGCAAUGUUAGGGAAUGAUAGAAUAACAUAAAUGAAAAAUUAGUAAUAGUAAUAGUAUUAUUUGCUUACAUGAGUCUUCUGAGAUCUUUCAUCAACGAAUUGAUUAGUGCCCUUCCUUACAUGAGUUUGUGCAAAGACCUCAUCAACAUGGACCGCCCGUCCCAGAGCUUGUGCCUGUAACAUAAUUUAGAAUUAGAAGUGUACAUAUGAAAUAGAAAAUACAUAACUUAUAUAUGAAAGAAAAGUUAUGUAAUGAAAUUAUACCAUACGAAUGGCAUGCUCAUGAAUGGUUAUCGACCCACCAGUAUGUAGGGUGCCACCCUUUUCAGAUGCUCUGUUCCUCUAGGCUUUGGCACACUUAUUGCGAAACUCUAAUGUAUUCCAAUGAGCCAGUAAAGAGUUCCAAAUUUGUUCACCCAGCCAGUAAGGGCGCUGUCCUCCAUUGCGGGCAUCCCUAAACAUCUCUGACAGCCAAUGAGAUGCUUUCAUGUGGAAAUUUCUGUGUAUCUGUGUUUCAUGUUUAGGUUUCCACUGCAUCUUCAUCUGUAACAUUAAACAGAACAAACAUUGAAUAAUGAACAUACUAAAAUAAGAGGGACAAUUAGUUUAAUGGAUUGUUCAUCUGAAAGCGCUCCCAGAAUGGCUUUUUUUCGUCAUCAGGUAUUGCUCCCCAAGUAGGUCAUGGACUUAAAAAAUUGUUACUUAAUUGAACGUGUGAUGGCCUGGGAAGCAAUCCUAGAUGGAAUAAACCUGCAUAAUAAAAGUCAUUUGAAUUACAAUAGGGUUUAAACAUCAAAUUAUAUCAAGAGAUUAAAAUCUUACCCUUUACCAUACGGCUCAAUCCAUGGUCGAUCAUGGAGGGGCGGGUCAAGACCUUCACCAUCACCACUUGAGUCUGGAUCAGCAGAUGGUGUGACAGUCUCAGAAGGCGGUAUACAAGAUGAGGAAGGUAUAGAAGUAGGGUCAGGGAGAGGAGUGGAGGUAAUAACCACAGGGGGAGGAGUGGGGGUUAUAAUCACAGGAGGAGGAAGAGGGUCUGCUGUAGGGGUAGUAGAAUGGUGUGCUGCAGAAGUAGGAGAAGGGUGUACUACAGGGGUAGGAUAAGGGUGUAUUGCAGAGGUAGGAGUAGGGUCUACUGCAGGGGUAGGAGGCUGUAUUGUAGGGGGUAGGAGGAGGCCCCACAGAUGAUGUACUGCAGGUAGCAGUGGUAGGUAGUUUAGCAGGCACCCUAAGUACAUACUUUGGUGCCUGCUGUUGCCUCUUUCUAGGCCUUGCUAGCCCCUUUCCUUUAUCAGGACGUUUUGAACCUUGUCCUGUCAUUGCUGCAUUGAAAUGGUUACAAAUAAAGCGAAAAAAUAGAAAUGAAUAAGGAAGGAUCAAUGGUUUUUAAAGUCAAUGUAUAAAUAAUUGCAUAAAACUUUUAAGAUGGUAUUUUAGAUAACUCUAUUCAAAUGAUAGUUCAAUUUGCUACAAUAGAUGUCCAACAUUCAAUCGUCGUCAUCAUGAUCUUCAUCUUCAUCUUCUUCUUCUUCAUCAUUGUCAUUAUCAUCAUCGUCUUCUUCUUCUUCUUCUUCGUGGUCAUCAUCAUCAUCAUCAUCAUUUUCUUCUUCUUCUUCUUCUUCUUCUUCUUCCUCUUCUUCUUGUUCUUCAUCACCUUGUAUUAUUGCUUCUAAUUCAUCUCCAUCACCAUCAGGGUCGACCAAUGCGGUUAUACGUUCAACUUCAAUAAUUUCUUGUGGUUGUGACAUUUGGUCAAGUUGGUAGGCAACAUCUUCCUCAACCUCAUUUGAGUCAAUGCGACCUCUAGGCUUGGUUUGUAUUGCUACGGCCCAACCACGCUUGUCAAUAUUACGAAAUGGUGGAUAUGGCACAUAAUAAACCUGUCUGACAUUAGUUGGUAGAAUGAAAGGAUCAAACGGUCCAUAUCUUAAACUCUGGUUGAGUUUGACAAUAUUAAAGCGUGGAUCCACUCUAGUACCAGCUCUAGAAGGAUCAAACCAUUCACAAUAAAAAAGUACUACUCUGUUUCGAGAAGUAGUGUUGUUGUACUCUAGCUCAUAUAUUUUAUGAAUGAUGCCGUAGAAAUCAUCAUAACAACCCUUUGUUAGGCCCUUGACAUACACACCACAAUUUGAUGUUUUCUUUCCUUUAGACCAUUCAUGUGUAUGGAAUUUGUAACCAUUGGUGAAGUAAGUGUGCCAUUCUUUGACACAUCUCAUUGGCCAAUUCGAGAGAUGUCUUAACUCUUGAACCGUGGGAGUUAAUGCCUGAUUAAAAACCUACAAAGGUAAUAACAAAAUUAUAAAAGAAAGAGUCAAAUUAACCUUGCUCUAAAUGUAGGAAAAAUUACGGACCUGAUUAACAUACAUCCAUUAACACAACAAUCAAUCUUCUUGACUUCCGAUCCCAACUUUGAAACACAUUUUUUGGCUUGGUAAUAAUUCUUCGGCAUGAAAUUGUUUGGUGGUGUCAAAUCUAACAUCAAUUUUGUAUAGAAGUCCACUGCUUGAACGGGAACGUUCCAAUUAGAUUUGCCAGCCAUGAGUCUAAUGCACACUGACAAUUUUGACUCAGAUGAACCUUCAAAUACAGGUAGAUUUGCCUCUGUAAGUAAAUUGUAAAACCUCUGCGUCGUUUCAUUUGCAGGCUCUUCAUCAUGACUAUCGUCUGCUUCUUCAGCAUGGUGACGAAGAGCAUUGUCGACCAUCUCUUGCAUAUAGGCAAAUUGAUCUAUCUCAGAUGUAUGUACAAUAGUAUUCGAACCUGAUGCAAGCCGUUUAAUAGCUGCAGUGGAGGUCGAAGGAAUUUCUUCACCAUGAAAUGUCCAGACCGUGUAAUUAGGCAUGAACCCUUUUUGGUAAAGGUGAACUUUGACGACUUCAUCUUUCAAAAUCCUUGUACAUUCGCACUUGAUGCAUGGACAUCGAAUCCCUCCAUCAAGGGGAUAAUAUUGACAUCGUCGGGCCGUCUCCACGAACUCUUCAACUCCGAUGACAAAAGAUUCCUUCAAACAUCUCCUUCCACUAUAACAACGAUCAUACAUCCAUCCACGAUGGUUGGGAAAAUGGGCCAUGUUCUGUGACAAGCCAAAGAAAUCAAAACUUAGCCAAAACAGCAACACUCCAUGUGACAUAAGUAAUAAACCUAUUACUACUCAAGUCAAACAUGGAAGGCAAUUUCAACACUAUUGUCAUAGGCAUUCAAUAAGGGCAUGCAAAGACAAGUCCUCAGUAUUGAAAUGCCUUUGACAUCCUAAGUGGUUGUGUAUACAAUUUGGGGGAGACAAUAAUCUGACAUUACUAAAGUUCUCUAGUACUUUCACAUAUUUUGUACAUUGUAAGUGUUUAAGGUACUAUUACCCUUCUCAUUCUACUGAGAAUGUUUUUAGUAACAUACGACUUUAAAUGACUACUUAACCUUAUCAAGGAGUAGCCUAAUAAAUGAACAUACAAUAUACACGAGCAUACAAUAUAUACAUCAACAUACAACAUAUAGAUGAACAUUCACUGGUGGUCUAAAUGCAGGUUUGAUAACAAAUUUGUCCAAGGAAAUAAAAUUCUCACCUACUUUAGUCUAUUUAUAGUUCUUUUAUCUUUUAAAAGUGGUGUAGAUAGUUAGUUUACUGUUUUCAACUCUACUUUAAUAUACUUUUCGGUCUUUGGAAUUGUAGUGUAUUUUAGGUACUACUUUUAGGUUUCUAAGUUGACAAAUUUUGAGUUCUAGGUAUUUUAUGUAGUGUGAGUGCUUAAAUAGCUACGUUCUACCAUUCUUAACUUGUUAGGAUAGUUUAUUUGUAGUAUAUUUUCCUAGUUUAGUGCAGUUUGCAAAAUUAGUACAAUAUUUUUCAGUUUUAAGUAGUGAUUUUUAGCUAUUUCAUCUAAUUUCUGUUUAACUCCACCUUGUUGCUGUUUUCCGGGUUGGUCUUCUGCACUUACACACUCUAGUACAGUCACUUUUAACAUUGCCUAGUUAAUUGAAUGUUAUAAACUCACUUUUGGUGGUGUGAGGGAGUGAUUAUUUUGCAGUUUUGGCCAUAACAAAGUCAGAUAUAGAAGUCUACCAUUUGUAUGUUGUGUCACAGUUUGAGCAAGUCUAAAGUGAGCAAGUCUAAAGUGAUCUUUAAAAGUUGGUAGCAGAGUUCAAUUACUGAUAUAAUGGUCUAAGUGCAUAAUAGUAUACUAAACCAUCAAAAUUUAGUCAAAAAUGGGAACUGACAAGGUGUUUUUUAGUAACAGUUUGGAUGGACCAGAAACUAAUGUAUAUAAUAUGUGAGAUAAACAAUAAUACAUAACUUUAACUAUAUUUUAAUGCUUGAGGGAUUAAAGUAGUAUAAUAUUAUGAAUAAAGGAAAAUUUUGAAACAUCACGUGAAAGUGGAAAAGCAUGGAGAAAUAAUGGAAUGCAAAAUUAUGAAUAAAGGAAAAGGGUCCAGUACGCACAUUAGAGGGAAUCCAACUGCCACCCAAAUUAAAAGGUAUGGCUUUCACGUGAAAAGCAAAGAGCAACGGUGUGCACGAUUGGAAGACAUUCACGACUGGAAUAAAAAUUAAAUGCAGAUGCCAAUUCACUUAAUACAAUUUCCCAUUCAGAAAGUGCAUGGAAGUGGGCAGCCGCCCCCACAUUGUCCACCACUUGUGAACACACAGAUUCUUCAUUUUGAAGAAACGUCCAAGAACUCAUGGGCAUCCAUCAUUCACAUUAUCAGCAACCACCGAGAAAGGAGAGCUGCUACACUUGAGAGGCAAGCAUUCCAGCAAACAUCACAAGACCAGAGAAGAAGGAAAGGCCGUGAAGCAGUAGCACAUGAAGACCUCACGGCCUUGGCCCACAUAAAAGGUGAAAUUGUUUGUCACAGCUUGGAGUAAAAUCAGCAAAGGCUAUUGGAAGCAGCUCACGGAUCCAUUCUUCACCACCUCCUCACCAACCAGCAAACAUCCAUCCAAUAAUCCAGCAAACAUCCAUCCAAGGAAGAGCUGAAAAAUGGAGGACCCUUCUUGUUCUUGUUUGGAUUGAAGAAGGAUGGAAGAAGUUGGCCACACCAGACGAAAAAGAAGGCAGCAAACACACAUGCUACUGGAAGUCCACUGGAAAAGAUACAAAGGUGUACUAUAGAGGCAGAGCUCCUCAAGGAAUCAGAACUGAUUGGGUAAUGCAUGAGUAUUGCCUUGAUGACAAAGAGUGUGAAGACACCACUGGAUUACAAUUUUUGUGAUGAAUGAAAACAGUGUGAAAGCAUGGGACCAGUGGAGAAGAAGCUUGAGGAAAUGGAGAUAGAAUACGCGCGUGGAAUGGUGGAAGAAGGCAGGAUCAAAGUGGAUCAAAUGUUUUUUCAUGACCCAGAUGGGUUCAUGAUUGAGAUAUGCAACUGUGAUAUCCUUCCCGUGAUUCCCUUACCAAGUGACAUGGUUAGGUCAUGCUCUAGAAUGAACCUUCAAAUGCUUCAACAGAGACAGACACACCAAAUUGUGAAACAGGACUCAGCUUUAAUGUUAUCUUGAGUAUUUCGCUAGUUAUGCUUAUUGAAAUUGGCUUUUUAGGUGUACCAGUAGCUUUUUACUCUGAUCCAGUAUUUGAUAUCAGUUUUCAUAAUCAACAGAUAU